UCUGGGAUCACUUGUUUUUCUCUGAUUAGAUUUUACGAGUGGUGAAUUUCAGUGUAUCAGUCAUACUUGUGAAUUAGUUGCUAAACUGAUGAAUCUCUUUGCCGGCAAGGAUUGCUUUGCAGUUUGUAAGUCUGUUGCCCUAAAGGCCCUUUACUGUGUAGACAGUAAGCCUGACUGUGAGCCAGUCCAGUUCCCAGGCAAAGCUCUCUUCAGAUUAAAGCUGCUAUUUAUAGCAGGAAGACAGGCAAUGACCACAGUGUAGAGGACUUUACUCUGAGGGUGAGGCACUUGGAUUUAGUUCACCCUGGGUAGAACUGCUCCUCCUUCUCUAUGUCCAACACCCAACUCCAUUGAACAGGUCCAAAACCGUAUCAGCUGUUUUCUGCCUCUCUGCUAAACCACCACAACUGCCAUUGGGGGGACCAUCUAGGAGAAUCAUCUGCUCACAGUGAAGGAUAUUCAUAUCGAUCAAAGUACUGGACUUAUUUGUAUUUAGUGUUGGAAAAGAGAUCUCUGCCAGGAAGACCGAAUAUAGGAUCUAAAAUAAUCAUCAAUCACGCAGUUUCUCCCCUGCUCCAGGACAUUGAAGAGAACAAGGAGACAGCUCAGAGCUGGAGCCUGCCUCAUCCAACUCUGGCCUCCUGCAAACACCGGGUCUCAGCUCAAAUCCAGGCUGGCUUAGGAGAAGUUGACUUCUUCAUUGAAUUUGAGAUUAAACAUUAAAUGGUACCUCUUUUAAUAACUAAAGGUUGUCAAAAAAACUUUGAAUCCACUCAAAUAUCACCAAAGGAAGAGAAGGGAUGAUUGAUGAAGCAUAAGUGAAGACAGUAAUUGAAGAAAAAAAAAUCAGAUCGUUUAGUUGACAUCGUGUGCCAUUCUAUUGUCAUAUGGACGAGACUGAAGUGCUUUGUACUGAAGAAACAUAGAGGCAGAGUCUUGAAAAAUUCCCGAAAUGACUUUUCUCUUUUACCUCUUUAAACGUAAGAGAGGAUAAAUAGGAGACUACCUGCUUUUCUGGGCAAAAUGCAGUCAGUAUUUGAACGAUUCAUUAGUACUCAAUGAUUAGAUCCAAGUUGCAUUUGUCAAGCCAUUUUAACAUCAUCAACUAUGUCUUGGGCACUUCAGUUUUCAAUGAAUUUAUAUUACAUGUGAAUUUGUUUUCUGCA